UACGGAGGGUGCAAGCGUUUAAUCGGAAUUACUGGGCGUAAAGCGCACGUAGGUGGUUUUCUAAGUCAGCUGUGAAAUCCCCGGGCUCAACCUGGGACUUGCAGUUGAAACUGGAAAGCUAGAGUAGGGUAGAGGGGUGUGGAAUUCCAGGUGGUAGCGGUGAAAUGCGUAGAUAUCUGGAGGAACACCGGUGGCGAAGGCGGAUCUCUGGGCCUUACCGUGA
rnacentral:rRNA from 1 species